GGCUAUGUGAAGACAGUAAGACAGAUAGCAGCUUUAGUCGAGUGAGUUAGACAGUGAUUGACGAGAGAGUGUGAAAGUGGAUAAAAGAAAUAUUUUGUGAAAGAGUUGAAUUACCGCAAUCAUGAGAGGUUUUUCAUUGUACAGUCAUAACUGUGCACAAAAAUUUUGCAAGAUUAACCGUGGACAGACACACACAUGGGAUCAAACACAAUAUCUCCACAGGCUGCUGCCUAGACCGACUGUUAAGACAACCUGUGGCCUGCUGGAAGGCAAGUUUUCUCUCAAGAAGUUUCCUGAUGGAUCUCUGAACAGACAGAAAGUCAUAUGGACAUACCACAACACUGAAAUGUCAUUCUGUUGGAGCACAAGUUUAAAAUAUCAGCUAAUGCCAAAUAUGUUUUUGCUAACUUAACUUUGCCGUCUUUUGCUGACUAUUGGAAGAGUCACAGUAGUAAGUUAUACUAGUUAGUAGUAAGCUAUGCAGUAAGUUAGAGCAGGUGCUGGCACUUGUGGAGUGUUUAAGGCUCAAAUCUGUUGACAGCACACAGCUGAGCGAUGCAGUCACGAAAUGGAUUUCCAUGGAGUGUCUGCCCAUCGGCGCUAUUGAAGACAACCAGCUGAAAAACAUCAGAUUACAUCAAAAUCAUAUCAACAACUACUUAAUACACUACACAACACUGGAAAGAGCUGUGGGAGAGACAAAGGUUCCUUUUUGCUCCUUGCCUUGACUCUCAGAAGUGCGAAGAAAGGAUUAAGUCAACAUUUCUCAUGACCUCUGAGGCCUGGGGAUUGGAGGGGAGCCUGCACAGCUCUUACAAUAGGCAACCUGGCAGAGAAGCUCCAUUUUGGCUAAUUAGUCUUGACAGCAACUUUUCCCCGUGGUGUUGAUUAGAUCUAAUUAAUGACUCCAGGCAAGAUGGAGGACUGGCGCCCUGAAGGAACCAUUUCCAUACAUCCCAGGGUAAUUGAAGCCUUCCUUUUUUCACCACAAAGAAAUGACUAUUUUCCUAUCUUGGUUCCACUGUUUUUGUUGUUAUUGUUGUUGCUGCCCCCAUGGCUGAUGUCAUACGUGUCUGUUGUGUUAAAUGGUAACUCUCUAUCAAUGUUGUGUGAGUAAUAUACAGAUUCUGAGCACUGUAUGACUGUAUCAGUAGAGGCCUGUGUAUUGUUUUUGUGUAAAGUAACAUCCCUGUGGUCCAGCUUGAAACCCCAACUAGCCCAAUGGAGCUGCUCAAUGAACAGUUUAAAAAAUGAAAAAUGAAAGGGAAAAAAAACAGUAGUUAUUAGAUAUGCACUCCAAGACUCCACUUUCCUCGGAAUUAAUUAAAACACAGCUACGUAAAAUGAGAAGUAUUUUUCAAAUUGGCUCCCUUGACCUUAGUCCUCUGUUCCAACAUUGCAUCCUAUAAAUGAAAAACUUUCCAUAGCAACUCAUCCACUGCUACCUGCCAGCUCCCGUCUACCACCGACCUGUGGAGCGGAGACCUUUUGGGGCGGAUUACAUCUGAGAUGAAUUUCUCAGAGGAGCGCACCAUGCCAAACUAUGCAUGUUGCAGGGGAACAGAUUGUCCGGAUAAUCUGAUUAACAGUGUGAAAACUUACCCUAUCUGUGAUGACUUGAAACCUCCAAACAAAGAGAGAGAGAGAGAGCAGGAGAGGGAGAGGGAGAGAGUGGUGAAGAUGGUGUGAUUAAGGUGGGGAUGAAUUCAUCACGUAGGUGCACUGUCUGCCAACAAGUCAGAGCAGCGAUUCUUACGUUUUUCAAGUGGCGUGUCACAUCACAAAAUGUUUUGAAGGUUAAAUUAUAACCAUGAGAAAAACCCGGGAGUGGCUUGACACUAUUGAAGCUUUUUGUCUUAUUGACAGUCUUGCAUCUAUCAGAAUGAUGUCUUCAGAUAAAUAUGCACAGGGAAAACUGUUCACUCUAAACAAUUUUUAAUGAAAGUAUUAUGCAAACUAUAAAAAAAAAAAACGUUGAUAAAUUUCAGCCACAUUCUCUCAGAUACCAGUCUUGAAACAUUCAAUAGAAAGUAAUCUAUAGAGAGGGAGAAAGAUUUCUGUAAUUUAAACCAACAAACUGCUUUAUUUCCCAUUGACCUCCCGCAAAAUGAACUUGGCCCCCGAUUAAGAGACACCACUUUAUUUUCAUGCUGGUAUAAACCAAAAGCCUCAGUAGAGCGCAGUAUUUUCACCAGGUCUUUGGCUUCUAUUGAAAUCCUGUAGUGUGUUACGAAUGCAAGGUGGGUUGAGGUUGGGGGCAUCGUGGCGAGAUAUGGGGGCUCCUGGUGAGCACUGCAGGGGCUGGUGUUGGUGUGUCUCCGAGUCUCUGAUGUUUAUCUGGAGAUACUCUAGAGUCUGAUCACGGACACUCCCUCUUCCAUCACCACCUGCUCUCAGAAAUCCAAAUAAUUACCCGGGCACUAAUGUGGGUGGUGGUCCUUAUCUGCAGCCAAUCACGGUGAAGCAUAAUGGAGUCACUGCCAUUGCUCAUGGCGUUGCUCAUUUCUGCCAGAUAAAGGGGGAGCUCAUUAAGGAAAUGAGAUAAAUAAUACUGCUGCUAAAAAUUCCUUGGUGCUGAUGCACAACCAAUGCAAAAAAAAGAAGAAAAAAACCCAACAACAACUGUGUUGAAUGUGGUUUCUCACAUACUGUAUAUACUGUAAUCAUUUAUAUAUUUACUGCCUAUAGGUAAUUGCAGAACUACUCACUCUUAAUGGAUAAAAAAAAAAAUACUUACUAUGUUGCCCUUAUAGUUCGACCAAAGAAGUGUAACGCAUGUGAAAUAACAUAUUGUCCUCAUUUGUUCAUAUAUGUUCAUCCAUACCUGCAUGGACUCAAAAAGGGCACAUAUAUUUACAAAAUAUGUUAGGCAUAUUAUGUCCAUAUAUGAAAAUGUGUCAAAUCUGAAUAUGUUUCAUGUAUGAGUAUUCAUGAGGACAUAUAUGCCAUAUAUGGAAAUCCCCUACAUGUGCGGUGUUAUAUUUCUGUGCAGAUAUCUUCCUUAGUUUUCUUACCAGAAGCCGACAAAAACAUCCAGUAUUGUCAGACAAGUGGGAAUGCAAUUCCCUGCAACUGCGUAGGCCUGAUCUGACAAGCUGACCAGCGG